rnacentral:misc_RNA from 1 species
UCGAAAUUAUAGGCGAGGGUUGUAGCUGGCCUCUCGGGGCAUGUGCACACCUGAGCCCCUUAAUUCCCACACACACCUGUGAACCUAUUGUAAGGGCCCGUAAAAAAGGCCUUUAUGUCUUUAUCACCUACACGAAAGUCUCAAUAGAAUGUAAAUGUAAUGUCCUCGCCUUGAAAAAGCGUUGAUAAAAAAAAAAAGUUAUA